UGGGGAAUAUUGCACAAUGGGCGCAAGCCUGAUGCAGCCAUGCCGCGUGUAUGAAGAAGGCCUUCGGGUUGUAAAGUACUUUCAGCGGGGAGGAAGGGAGUAAAGUUAAUACCUUUGCUCAUUGACGUAACCCGCAGAAGAAGCACCGGCUAACUCCGUGCCAGCAGCCGCGGUAAUACGGAGGGUGCAAGCGUUAAUCGGAAUUACUGGGCGUAAAGCGCACGCAGGCGGUUUGUUAAGUCAGAUGUGAAAUCCCCGGGCUCAACCUGGGAACUGCAUCUGAUACUGGCAAGCUUGAGUCUCGUAGAGGGGGGUAGAAUUCCAGGUGUAGCGGUGAAAUGCGUAGAGAUCUGGAGGAAUACCUGUGGCGAAGGCGGCCCCCUGGACAAAGACUGACGCUCAGGUGCGAAAGCGUGGGGAGCAAACAGG
rnacentral:rRNA from 1 species